AAUAAGAUCAUUUUUCAGUUUUUUGAUACAAUGCUUUGACUCUUCGUCUUAUUUGAAAUUUUUUUGCGUUUAAUAUUUUUAUUUUUACUAGAUGAUAAAACAUGAAUAAUGACUAAUUUUUUUAAGUUUUUAUGCAAAUUUUUCAAAUAAGACGAAUGGUCAAACGUUAGACGCGGAAAA
rnacentral:pre_miRNA from 1 species